rnacentral:lncRNA from 1 species
AAACAGUGGACAAAACUGUUCCAGAUUGUGCUUCUGGGUUCUGCCUCUCCUCCCAGGGUGUCUGGUCACUGCCAGACUUGGCGAACUACUGCUUGCCAGUCCAGAAGUGGGAGGCAGAAUCUAGGAUGGAUGUUAUUGUUCUUCAUCUCCUGCUUUCUCCCUCUCUGUUUGGGCUCUUAUAGAUGAGGCCUGCUCUGAAGAUCUUUAAUGAAGCAAUUUGAAUGCAUACACUUUAUUCAGGGUGAACCAAAGGGUUUUGGGUUGAGACUAUCCAUGGUGGGAAAAGGUCAUUGACUGGAAGCUAAGGUACAAGAAGCCUCAUUAGCAUGGAGAAGCAUUGCAGUUGCUGGGUACUGACUACCUGUGGCCGCCUACUUGGAGUCACCUGAUUAUGUGCUCUGAGGCACCACAGAAACAGGGAGAGAGCUUGUUCCACUCCUGCUGGUCUCAGGUUUUGAGAUUUUUGGGGGUUUGAACGUGCUCUGCCUUACCAGUUCUCUUGUGGCAGGGUCCAUGUGCCCCACACCAGAUUGGAUGAGGCUAUUCUCAUUACUUACACUAUGAAGGCCACUGUUGGGAAAGUUGAUAAAUACUGAAUAGAUUUUGAUGAUUAGAACACAGUACUGCAUUGGGUUUCAUUUCUUGACUUGGUUGGUUUUAUUGGGGGACUAUCUUCACGUACAUACUAAGCAACCAUUUUCAAAUGCUAUAUAUAGUCUUUGGAUCUCUUUACUGUAAUUUCUAAAAAUUUAUUGAGGAUCCAAAAGCUUGUGUUUGUGCAGUACAGCUAUUAAUGUUUAUUAUCUUUAGUCAGAUGGGAGAUUUAAAAGCAUUCAUUUAAAAUAAUAACAGUAAAUCUAUUAUAUGUAUGAAAAACACUGGGGGAAUAACUUUUGAAAUAAGAUUGAGUGAGUAGAAUACUACGUGUAUACAUAUCUGCAAGUCUCUUUAGUGUCUUACUUAAUAAAAGAUGGUGGUUGGCUGUGCUUAUCCACAGCUACAGUUUGUUAGUUAGAAGAAGAAAAUCUACCUUUAAAUAGAUAGGUAGCAAAAGUUUUUAGUAGCCUCUUUCGAGUAAUUAAUUGUGGGUAUUCUUUAUAUACAUAAAAGGUGGCCUGUGGGUUACAAAGCCUGAUGACCUGAGUUCAAACCCAGGCUGCACAGAGUAGAAAGCAAGAACUCACUCCCACAGUUGUCCUCUGACUUGCACAACCACUCUGUGAACACAUAUGUUCACACAUCUAUACACAUGUUUAAGUCUGUCUAGGUGGAGUAUCUGACAAGUGUCUUCCAUUAUGAGGCUAGAAAUGAAAUCUUCGUACUUGGUCACAUUAAAAUUUAUUGUCUACUCAUACCUAGAAUAGGUCUUGGUAUCUGGCAAGAUUUUCUCUCUUUAGGCUCUGGGAAAUGUUAGUUUGGGAGUUUUAUAGAUUGCUCCAGAAUGUUAAUACAUAUGGAUUGUCACAAAUGUUAAUAUCAACCCCAUUCUUAUCAGGAAAUCUUUUUUUCUCAGAUUUGUGGUGGUAGGUAUAAAUCUUCUAAAAUUGUGCUUUUUAUUUAAACACUCAAAUUUUAUCUUGGACAACAAAUAGCGUUGCUUCCUUUUCUUGAAGUGGCAGAUUCAUUCAUUCAUUUUUGAUACAGUACCUACCAAAUCUGCAUAAAUACAGUUUGUUGUUCUUACAAUUAAAUCAUGUUUAGAUGAAAAGGGAGUCAGUUCAGCACGUGAGCAGCACUUGCAGCCAUUGUAUUAAAUAUGCAGAAAAAAUGUAUAUAGUACAUUUUGUUGCACAGAGCUUUAAAAAUAAGUAUACAAAGGACAGUCAUGUAGUAAAAUUAAUAACGUUACUGCUUGAUCAGGAGCAUUAUUAAGUGAAACUGACUUUUGUUUUUUUGCUACGAGCUCUUGAAGGAUGCGGUGACCUCCAGAGCAGUGCACAUCGCUGCUCUGAUUUGCCUUUGUUAACCAGGGAAGGCAGCACUGAGUGCCUUGCUUAGGGUUUGGACUUUCAUAGAUUUUCGUUGGCUAUGGAUCUUGAAGGAUGCUGUAUUCACAAAGUAGUUACGGAUGCUGAACAUCAUAGCAGUCUCUGUACAUUACUUUAAUUUGAGAUUAUUUUAAAAAUACAUAAAUAGCGGUUUGUCAAACAUUGAAAAUUAUAUUUAUGAGAAUAAUCAUUUGCAAACUUUAGAAAUAUUCCAGUAAGUCUUGUACAGAAUGAAUGACAUAAUGUUCUUGGCACAUAGUUAAUUUGAGGUAACUGAUUGCUGUAAUAUUACUGUUCUGGUAGUAGGAUAUUAACUUUAGCCCCAUGCAUUUUACAUGGUACAGUGUGUCCUUUAGGGCAUCCUGUGAUCACAAAUGACGUGUGCCAAGUUCGUAUUCUUGGUAUUGAAGAAUGAGACUUCAUCAACUACCUUUGCUUUCAGUUUGCUUUCCUAUAUGAAAGCAGUGCUCUUAACAGUGUAAAGGAGGAUGGGCAUUGGGUAUGCUCUGUGUUGACCAGAAGGUGGUUCAGCUCUUGGCAAAAUAUCAGUGAAAUGGCUCUGCAGGUAAGGGUACUUGCCCCAAACAUCAUGACUUGAGUUCAGUCUCCAAAAGUCUUAUAGUGGAAAGAGAGAACUGAUUUGUGCAAAUUGCCCUCUUCUCAAGGCCAUACAUGAAGUUAAUAAAUAUACAAAAAGAUUUUUUUUUUUGGUUUUUUGACACAGGGUUUCUCUGUAUAGCCCUGGCUGUCCUGGAACUCACUUUGUAGACCAGGCUGGCCUCGAACUCAGAGAUCCACCUGCCUCUGCUUCCCGAGUGCUGGGAUUAAAGGCGUGCACCACCAUGCCCGGCUAAGAUUUAUUUUUUAAUUUUAAAAAAGUGUUGAUUUAUUUUUUUAAUUUUAAAAAAGUAUUAAUUAUAUACUUAGAGGCAGGAGCAGGAAGACUGUGCAUUCAAGAUCAACUGGAUGUGGUGGUAAAUGGCUUUAAUUCUAGCACUCAAGAAGAGCAGUCAGGUCUCUGAGUUCAAGGCCAUCCUGGUCUGCAUAUGGAGUUCCAGGUCAGCCAAAGCUACAUAGUGUGACCCAUCUCAGAAAGUCAGAAGUAGGAGAGUAAUCAAGGUCUUUCUUGGCUACACAGUGAAUUCAAAGACACCUUGAGCUACUUAGAAUUACAUGAUGUUUAAAGAAAAAUAUUCUAAAACUGAGUUCAUUGUAAUAGGAUAAUUAAUACUUGGUUUAACUUUGUGAUUUUGAUUAAAUUUAUUUCCUUCUAAAGUUUCUUUAAUAAGAAAAGAACUGACUCUGAGAUCUGCCUGCCUCUGUCUCCUGAGUGCUGGGAUUAAACAGAGCUACACAGAGAAACCUGUUGUCAAAAACCAAAACCAAACAAACAC